rnacentral:rRNA from 1 species
AACGUAGGGGGCUAGCGUUGCUCGGAAUUACUGGGCGUAAAGGGUCCGUAGGCGGUGUGACAAGUCGGUAGUGAAAUCUCCGGGCUUAACCCGGAGGCUGCUGCCGAAACUGUUGUGCUAGAGUGUGAGAGAGGCGAGUGGAAUUACGGGUGUAGCGGUGAAAUGCGUAGAUAUCCGUAGGAACAUCCGAGGCGAAAGCGGCUCGCUGGAUCACAACUGACGCUGAGGGACGAAAGCUAGGGGAGCAAACAGGAUUAGAUACCCUGGUAGUCCUAGCCCUAAACCAUCAGGACUUGGGGUUUGCCCUGUACGGGGCAAGUCCCGGAGCUAACGCGUUAAGUCCUGCGCCUGGGGAGUACGGUCGCAAGGCUGAA